rnacentral:rRNA from 1 species
GACAGAGGUGCCGAGCGUUAGGCGGAAUCACUGGGCUUAAAGCGUGUGUAGGCGGGCGGGCAAGUACCUUGUGAAAUCCCACGGCUCAACCGUGGAACGGCUGGGUAUACUGCCUGUCUUGAGCCAACUAGGGGCGAGCGGAACAGACGGUGGAGCGGUGAAAUGCGUAGAUAUCGGGAGGAACACCCGUGGCGAAGGCGGCCAGCUGGGCCGGCCCUGACGCUGAGGCGCGAAGGCGUGGGGAGCGAACGGG